AUGCUAGAAAAAGACAAUGGUCUAGAUGAUGAGACCUUCUUUAGGACCUUCUUCCUAGUAGCAUUGGCUACUCAUAUUGCACCUGGAACUGAAAAUAUGGUGCCUUUGGAGUAUUUAGGCAGCCUUGAAGUUGCUUCCGAGGUUUGCGAGUAUGCAUGGGGAGAACAAAUUCUCAAAGAUGUCAUGUGCGAGAUCGACACUUUCCAAAAGAAGAAGAAGAAAGCACUAUUAGAUGGUGUCUUCAAAAAAAUAUGGGUUGGCGGCUGCUUACCCUUGCUCGCGUUCCGUGCACCCGACACCACCCCAUAUGCCAUCCAAGCGCCAAACUACAAGGAACAACCUACUCAACAGCCAUAUAUAGAGCAAAAUGAACCUAAAUCUACCAACCAUCCAGAUGAGGACAUGCAUCACCAGGUCUCUACAUUACCUAUGAGGCAAUCUGAGAAGAAGGUCAAUCUUAUUUCUUCUAACCUGUCUGCUCUAUGGAUCUUGCAUGGAUCUUGGAGCUGCAGGCAGAUGGACACAUCUCAGUUCAGAGCAUGUCUGUAA
rnacentral:rRNA from 1 species